UGGGGAAUUUUGGACAAUGGGCGAAAGCCUGAUCCAGCAAUGCCGCGUGUGUGAAGAAGGCCUUCGGGUUGUAAAGCACUUUUGUCCGGAAAGAAAUCCUCUGGGUUAAUACCUCGGGGGGAUGACGGUACCGGAAGAAUAAGCACCGGCUAACUACGUGCCAGCAGCCGCGGUAAUACGUAGGGUGCAAGCGUUAAUCGGAAUUACUGGGCGUAAAGCGUGCGCAGGCGGUUUUGUAAGACGGAUGUGAAAUCCCCGGGCUUAACCUGGGAACUGCAUUCGUGACUGCAAGGCUAGAGUAUGGCAGAGGGGGGUAGAAUUCCACGUGUAGCAGUGAAAUGCGUAGAGAUGUGGAGGAAUACCGAUGGCGAAGGCAGCCCCCUGGGCCAAUACUGACGCUCAUGCACGAAAGCGUGGGGAGCAAACAGGAUUAGAUACCCUGGUAGUCCACGCCCUAAAACGAUGUCAACUAGUUGUUGGGGAUUCAUUUCCUUAGUAACGUAGCUAACGCGUGAAGUUGACCGCCUGGGGGAGUACGGUCGCAAGAUUAAAACUUAAAUGAAUUGACGGGGUCAUAGCUGUUUCCU
rnacentral:rRNA from 1 species